rnacentral:rRNA from 1 species
AACGUAGGAGACAAACGUUAUCCGGAGUUACUGGGCGUAAAGGGCGUGUAGGCGGUUUGUUAAGUCUGGCGUGAAAGCUCUCGGCUAAACCGGGAGAGGUCGUUGGAUACUGGCAAACUAGAGGACGGUAGAGGCGUGUGGAAUUCCGGGUGUAGUGGUGAAAUGCGUAGAGAUCCGGAGGAACACCAGUGUCGAAGGCGACACGCUGGGCCGUACCUGACGCUAAAGCGCGACAGCAUGGGGAGCAAACGGG